rnacentral:rRNA from 1 species
CUUAUCGCUUUCGCUUGGACGCUGACUGUGUAUCGCCAACAUCGAGUGAUCAUCGUUUACGGCGUGGACUACCAGGGUAUCUAAUCCUGUUUGAUCCCCACGCUUUCGUGCCUGAGCGUCAGUUGUAGCUUAGUGAGCUGCCUUCGCUAUCGGUGUUCUGUGACAUAUCUAUGCAUUUCACCGCUACAUGAUACAUUCCGCCCACUUCAAUUAGACUCAAGACUAUCAGUAUCAAAGGCAGUUCCACGGUUGAGCCGGAACAUUUCACCUCUGACUUACUAGUCCGCCUGCGCACCCUUUAAACCCAAUGAAUCCGGAUAACGCUUGCAUCCUCCGUAUUACCGCGGCUGCUGGCACGGAGUUAGCCGAUGCUUAUUCUUCAGG